UGAGGAAUAUUGGUCAAUGGUCGGGAGACUGAACCAGCCAAGCCGCGUGAGGGACGGAGGUACAGAGUAUCGUAAACCUCUUUUGUCAGGGAACAAAGGACCCCACGUGUGGGGUUAUGNGGGUAACUGAAGAAAAAGAAUAGGCUAACUCCGUGCGAGCAGCCGCGGUAAUACGGAGGAUGCGAGCGUUAUCCGGAUUUCUUGGGUUUAAAGGGUGCGUAGGCGGCGUCCUAAGUCAGCGGUAAAAGCCCGGGGCUCAACCCCGGCGAGCCGUUGAUACUGGGGUGCUCGAGUUGGAGAGAAGUAUGCGGAAUGCGCGGUGUAGCGGUGAAAUGCAUAGAUAUCGCGCAGAACUCCGAUUGCGAAGGCAGCAUGCCGGCUCCACACUGACGCUGAGGCACGAAAGCGUGGGUAUCGAACAGG
rnacentral:rRNA from 1 species